UACAGAGGGUGCGAGCGUUAAUCGGAAUUACUGAGCGUAAAGGGUGCGUAGGUGGUUUGGUAAGUUAGGUGUGAAAGUCCUGGGCUCAACCUGGGGAUUGCGCCUGAUACUGCUGAACUAGAGUACUGUAGAGGAAAGUGGAAUUUCCGGUGUAGCAGUGAAAUGCGUAGAUAUCGGAAGGAACAUCAGUGGCGAAGGUGACUUUCUGGACAGAUACUGACACUGAGGCACGAAAGCAUGGGGAGCAAACAGG
rnacentral:rRNA from 1 species